UGAGGAACAUGACCUUCGGCGGGGGAUAGCCGGCCCAACGGCCGGGUAAUACCGCGUACGACCACUUUGGGACAUCCCUAGGUGGUGAAAGCAGCAAUGCGCCGAUGGAGUGCCUCGCGGCCUAUCAGCUAGUUGGUGAAGUAACGGCUCACCAAGGCGACGACGGGUAGCUGGUCUGAGAGGAUGGCCAGCCACAGUUGGGACUGAGACACGGCCCAGACCUCCGUACGGGAGCA
rnacentral:rRNA from 1 species